rnacentral:rRNA from 1 species
UAAUAUUCCUGUACUUGGUGUUACUGCGAAGGGGGGACGGAGAAGGCUAUGUUGGCCGGGCGACGGUUGUCCCGGUUUAAGCGUGUAGGCUGGUUUUCCAGGCAAAUCCGGAAAAUCAAGGCUGAGGCGUGAUGACGAGGCACUACGGUGCUGAAGCAACAAAUGCCCUGCUUCCAGGAAAAGCCUCUAAGCAUCAGGUAACAUCAAAUCGUACCCCAAACCGACACAGGUGGUCAGGUAGAGAAUACCAAGGCGCUUGAGAGAACUCGGGUGAAGGAACUAGGCAAAAUGGUGCCGUAACUUCGGGAGAAGGCACGCUGAUAUGUAGGUGAAGUCCCUCGCGGAUGGAGCUGAAAUCAGUCGAAGAUACCAGCUGGCUGCAACUGUUUAUUAAAAACACAGCACUGUGCAAACACGAAAGUGGACGUAUACGGUGUGACGCCUGCCCGGUGCCGGAAGGUUAAUUGAUGGGGUCAGCGCAAGCGAAGCUCUUGAUCGAAGCCCCGGUAAACGGCGGCCGUAACUAUAACGGUCCUAAGGUAGCGAAAUUCCUUGUCGGGUAAGUUCCGACCUGCACGAAUGGCGUAAUGAUGGCCAGGCUGUCUCCACCCGAGACUCAGUGAAAUUGAACUCGCUGUGAAGAUGCAGUGUACCCGCGGCAAGACGGAAAGACCCCGUGAACCUUUACUAUAGCUUGACACUGAACAUUGAGCCUUGAUGUGUAGGAUAGGUGGGAGGCUUUGAAGUGUGGACGCCAGUCUGCAUGGAGCCGACCUUGAAAUACCACCCUUUAAUGUUUGAUGUUCUAACGUGGACCCGUGAUCCGGGUUGCGGACAGUGUCUGGUGGGUAGUUUGACUGGGGCGGUCUCCUCCUAAAGAGUAACGGAGGAGCACGAAGGUUGGCUAAUCCUGGUCGGACAUCAGGAGGUUAGUGCAAUGGCAUAAGCCAGCUUGACUGCGAGCGUGACGGCGCGAGCAGGUGCGAAAGCAGGUCAUAGUGAUCCGGUGGUUCUGAAUGGAAGGGCCAUCGCUCAACGGAUAAAAGGUACUCCGGGGAUAACAGGCUGAUACCGCCCAAGAGUUCAUAUCGACGGCGGUGUUUGGCACCUCGAUGUCGGCUCAUCACAUCCUGGGGCUGAAGUAGGUCCCAAGGGUAUGGCUGUUCGCCAUUUAAAGUGGUACGCGAGCUGGGUUUAGAACGUCGUGAGACAGUUCGGUCCCUAUCUGCCGUGGGCGCUGGAGAACUGAGGGGGGCUGCUCCUAGUACGAGAGGACCGGAGUGGACGCAUCACUGGUGUUCGGGUUGUCAUGCCAAUGGCACUGCCCGGUAGCUAAAUGCGGAAGAGAUAAGUGCUGAAAGCAUCUAAGCACGAAACUUGCCCCGAGAUGAGUUCUCCCUGACCCUUUAAGGGUCCUGAAGGAACGUUGAAGACGACGACGUUGAUAGGCCGGGUGUGUAAGCGCAGCGAUGCGUUGAGCUAACCGGUACUAAUGAACCGUGAGGCUUAACCUU